rnacentral:rRNA from 1 species
GCCACACUGGGACUGAGAUACGGCCCAGACUCCUACGGGAGGCAGCAGUGGGGGAUUUUGCACAAUGGGCGCAAGCCUGAUGCAGCGACGCCGCGUGAGGGAUGACGGCCUUCGGGUUGUAAACCUCUUUCGCUAGGUUGGAAGACGCUUUUUGGAGUUGUUGACUUUAACUGGUAAAGAAGUACCGGCUAACUACGUGCCAGCAGCCGCGGUAAUACGUAGGGUACUAGCGUUGUCCGGAAUUAUUGGGCGUAAAGGGCUUGUAGGUGGUUUGUCGCGUCUGUCGUGAAAACCCGGGGCUUAACUCCGGGCUUGCGGUGGGUACGGGCAGGCUUGAGUGCGGUAGGGGAGACUGGAAUUCCUGGUGUAGCGGUGGAAUGCGCAGAUAUCAGGAGGAAUACCGGUGGCGAAGGCGGGUCUCUGGGCCGUUACUGACACUGAGGAGCGAAAGCGUGGGGAGCGAACAGGAUUAGAUACCCUGGUAGUCCACGCUGUAAACGUUGGGCACUAGUUGUGGGGGCUUUUGUUGGUUUCCGCGACGUAGCUAACGCAUUAAGUGCCCCGCCUGGGGAGUACGGCCGCAAGGCUAAAACUCAAAGGAAUUGACGGGGACCCGCACAAGCGGCGGAGCAUGCGGAUUAAUUCGAUGCAACGCGAAGAACCUUACCAAGGCUUGACAUGCACCGGACGACUCUAGAGAUAGGGUUUCCCUUUGUGGCUGGUGUGCAGGUGGUGCAUGGUUGUCGUCAGCUCGUGUCGUGAGAUGUUGGGUUAAGUCCCGCAACGAGCGCAACCCUUGUCUAGUGUUGCCAGCAAGUAGUGUUGGGGACUCUCUAGAGACUGCCGGGGUUAACUCGGAGGAAGGUGGGGAUGACGUCAAAUCAUCAUGCCCCUUAUGUCUUGGGCUUCACGCAUGCUACAAUGGGCGGUACAGUGGGUUGCAAUACCGUGAGGUGGAGCUAAUCCCCAAAGCCGUUCUCAGUUCGGAUCGUAGUCUGCAACUCGACUACGUGAAGGUGGAGUCGCUAGUAAUCGCAGAUCAGCAUUGCUGCGGUGAAUACGUUCUCGGGUCUUGUACACACCGCCCGUCACGUCACGAAAGUUGGUAACACCCGAAGCUCAUGGCCUAACCGCGUUU